AUUGAACGCUGGCGGCAGGCUUAACACAUGCAAGUCGAGCGGAGAGAGGUAGCUUGCUACUGAUCUUAGCGGCGGACGGGUGAGUAAUGCUUAGGAAUCUGCCUAUUAGUGGGGGACAACAUUUCGAAAGGAAUGCUAAUACCGCAUACGUCCUACGGGAGAAAGCAGGGGAUCUUCGGACCUUGCGCUAAUAGAUGAGCCUAAGUCGGAUUAGCUAGUUGGUGGGGUAAAGGCCUACCAAGGCGACGAUCUGUAGCGGGUCUGAGAGGAUGAUCGGCCACACUGGGACGUGAACACGGCCCAGACUCCUACGGGAGGCAGCAGUGGGGAAUAUUGGACAAUGGGCGGAAGCCUGAUCCAGCCAUGCCGCGUGUGUGAAGAAGGCCUUAUGGUUGUAAAGCACUUUAAGCGAGGAGGAGGCUACUUUAGUUAAUACCUAGAGAUAGUGGACGUUACUCGCAGAAUAAGCACCGGCUAACUCUGUGCCAGCCGCCGCAGUAAGAC
rnacentral:rRNA from 1 species